rnacentral:rRNA from 1 species
GAUGAACGCUAGCUACAGGCUUAACACAUGCAAGUCGAGGGGUAACGAGAGGGAAGCUUGCUUUCCUUGUCGACGACCGGCGCACGGGUGAGCAACGCGUAUCCAACCUGCCCCCAACUAGGGAAUAACCUUGCGAAAGUAAGACUAAUACCCUAUAAUUUCCUCAGAUGUCAUCUGACGAGGAAUAAAGAUUUAUCGGUUGUGGAUGGGGAUGCGUCUGAUUAGCUUGUUGGCGGGGUAACGGCCCACCAAGGCAACGAUCAGCAGGGGUUCUGAGAGGAAGGUCCCCCACAUUGGAACUGAGACACGGUCCAAACUCCUACGGGAGGCAGCAGUGAGGAAUAUUGGUCAAUGGGCGCAAGCCUGAACCAGCCAAGUAGCGUGCAGGAUGACGGCCCUAUGGGUUGUAAACUGCUUUUAUACAGGAAUAAAGUUAGCCACGUGUGGUUAUUUGUAGGUACUGUAUGAAUAAGGACCGGCUAAUUCCGUGCCAGCCGCCGCAGUAA